rfam:Pseudomonas floridensis strain GEV388 GEV-388_contig_7, whole genome shotgun sequence.
UGACCAUGGGGCUGGGAUGUACUGAUUGUUUGGAUCGGUGCGACCUAGGGGUACAGGGAGUGCCUCCGCCGAGGGCCGGGUCAGGCAGGUU